CAUGUUUAAGAAAGGUGAUAACAAAAAAACAACCUAAAAUCCAAACUUUUCAAUAGACGUUUAACAGAUUCAUCCGAGUACUCGCGAGUACUCGAGUAUCAUGACCGAGUAUCCGAGUAUUAAAUUCCAGAUCUUUUGACAUCUAUAUUAUAUACAUAUGUACAUAUCAUGCAGCUGUCGAGUCCACCCUCCUCAGUGACCAUGAC
rnacentral:lncRNA from 1 species